CGCCCGACGGCCAGGAAGAGAGCAGCCCGCCCCCCGACGCCUUCGUCUCUGACUCCUAGCAGCCGGAAUGGAGGGGACAAAACCGGCCUGUGGGAUUGCUGACAGCCGCCCGAGCAGGUCAGGACCGAGUCUGACCACGACAGACCGCGAAGAAGUCCUUUACCCCAGAGAGUUGGAGAAGCGUUUCCCCCGCCCCUGCUCAGGAGCAGUCACACUCUUCACUCUCCAUGAGGACCCUUCCGGAAAGCAGUGAGGAGAGGACAGGAAGGACUACAGAUGCUGUGCGGACGUUGUACCUCCAGAAAGUGGACAACAGGAAGCCUCGAAGAGCGUGCAGCCGACCCUUGACACCAUAGGGGUCCAUGACCUAACCAGACAGAGCCAUGAACAGACACGACAGUAGGAAACAGACUUCUCUCUGCACAACGUGUCUAAGGUCGGUCAGACAACUGAGGAAGUAUCAGGAGUGACCACUUACGGGGUUUGGGGUCUGGGGCUUCUGCUGGGGUGAUGAAGAAGGUCUGGGGCCAGAUGGUGGGGAUGACGCACAGCGCUGUGCAGGCCCUGA